AAAAAACAAAGAAAGAUAGAAGAUGCCAUUUUCUCUUCCCAGGGGACAUUGAAGUAAUUUUUCAAUGAUUGAAAAGCUAAAUGGUAUAAAGUAUUUAGACCUAAUUCUUGUACUUCAUUUCAGACAUCAGAAAUCCAGGCAUGUCAAAUGAGGAAGCAAACUUCUCAACAUCAACCUUCAGGGCCUCGAUCUCCUUGUUGUUCACGAGACCCUUAUUGAAGUCCUUCAAGAGCUUUCCAUGUUCCUUUUGGAUGCUCAAAGUAAUGGUUACAGCACGGUGGAGGAAUUCUCCAAUCUGCUCAAAGUCUUUCUCAACCAAACCUCUUGAAGUCAUGGCUGGCGUACCAAUUCUUACACC
rnacentral:misc_RNA from 1 species